rnacentral:rRNA from 1 species
UACGUAGGUGGCGAGCGUUGUCCGGAUUUACUGGGCGUAAAGAGCGCGCAGGCGGUCGUUCAAGUCGCGUGUGAAAGCCCCCGGCUCAACUGGGGAGGGUCACGCGAUACUGAUCGACUCGAAGGCAGGAGAGGGAAGUGGAAUUCCCGGUGUAGUGGUGAAAUGCGUAGAUAUCAGGAGGAACACCGGUGGCGAAGGCGGGUCUCUGGGCCGAAAUUGACGCUGAGGAGCGAAAGCGUGGGGAGCAAACAGG